UAACGACUUUCGGCAACGGAUAUCUCGGCUCUCGCAUCGAUGAAGAACGUAGCGAAAUGCGAUACUUGGUGUGAAUUGCAGAAUCCCGUGAACCAUCGAGUCUUUGAACGCAAGUUGCGCCCGAAGCCUUUUGGCCGAGGGCACGUCUGCCUGGGCGUCACGCAUCGUUGCCCU
rnacentral:rRNA from 1 species